UUGUACGUUCGAAACCUGUCGCCGUCACUUGCGCGUUUGGCAUUAUCCAUUGUCACCGCGGAGGAACGAGCGCUCGAGAUAUCAUCAGUGCCCGCAAAUCUCCGCGCCAAGGCGCUGAGCUACUCCUUUCCGAGGUGCGCCUCUGGUCCUCCGUCCCUGGUGCCCAGCAGCGGCGAGGCGGCAUCUCCGCUCCCGCCGCCGUGUCCACCGAGCCCUGGGAUCAGGGUGGCAGUUCUCAACGAUGGGCAGGAGGGACCUCGGCGGCGACCCCUAAAACAAUACCAUGCCCCGGGAUCCCCGCUGCUGCCGCGCCAGCGUCUUCCCUUUCCACCUCCCUGACCCUGUCGGAUUCGGAUGAGCCCAUUGCAAGGAGAAGACGCAGCCGUCAGAUUUUAAUGGACCCGACUGAGAUUACUGAUGACUUAAUUCACUUCUUGCCAGUGAGAAAAGGUAGCCAUGUGGUGAGAAACUUGAAGACAGGUAAGACACGGAGACCUUUGGGUUGAUGGCAAGAUUUGGAGGGCUGAUUAUGGCGCCUUUGAUGUGAGGAGGUAUUCCUGCAAUC
rnacentral:lncRNA from 1 species